rnacentral:rRNA from 1 species
AGUGAGCGCUGGCGGUAGGCCUAACACAUGCAAGUCGAACGGCAGCACAGUAAGAGCUUGCUCUUACGGGUGGCGAGUGGCGGACGGGUGAGGAAUACAUCGGAAUCUACUUUUUCGUGGGGGAUAACGUAGGGAAACUUACGCUAAUACCGCAUACGACCUACGGGUGAAAGCAGGGGAUCUUCGGACCCUGCGCGAUUGAAUGAGCCGAUGUCGGAUUAGCUAGUUGGCGGGGUAAAGGCCCACCAAGGCGACGAUCCGUAGCUGGUCUGAGAGGAUGAUCAGCCACACUGGAACUGAGGCACGGUCCAGACUCCUACGGGAGGCAGCAGUGGGGAAUAUUGGACAAUGGGCGCAAGCCUGAUCCAGCCAUACCGCGUGGGUGAAGAAGGCCUUCGGGUUGUAAAGCCCUUUUGUUGGGAAAGAAAAGCAGCAGGUUAAUACCCCGCUGUUCUGACGGUACCCAAAGAAUAAGCACCGGCUAACUUCGUG